rnacentral:rRNA from 1 species
GUGGGGAAUAUUGGACAAUGGGGGGAACCCUGAUCCAGCCAUGCCGCGUGUGUGAAGAAGGCCUUUUGGUUGUAAAGCACUUUAAGCGAGGAGGAGGCUACCGAGAUUAAUACUCUUGGAUAGUGGACGUUACUCGCAGAAUAAGCACCGGCUAACUCUGUGCCAGCAGCCGCGGUAAUACAGAGGGUGCAAGCGUUAAUCGGAUUUACUGUGCGUAAAGCGCGCGUAGGUGGCCAAUUAAGUCAAAUGUGAAAUCCCCGAGCUUAACUUGGGAAUUGCAUUCGAUACUGGUUGGCUAGAGUAUGGGAGAGGAUGGUAGAAUUCCAGGUGUAGCGGUGAAAUGCGUAGAGAUCUGGAGGAAUACCGAUGGCGAAGGCAGCCAUCUGGCCUAAUACUGACACUGAGGUGCAAAAGCAUGGGGAGCAAACAGGAUUAGAUACCCGAGUAGUCC